CUGGAUUAAAUACAACACACAUUUAACAAAGAUAGAUCGUGUCCAGUUUAACUACUACAUUCUUAGAAUAAUUGAUUUAUUUCGCAGUAGUAAAAUAUUCUUGAUCUAAUCUUUGUAGACAUAGAUAAAGACCUUGGUACACUGCCACAUUACUAGGAAAGCUGUGGAAUGUAAAGAUUUUUUUUUUUUAAAAAAGCAAUUUGCUCAAAGGGGAAGAUGCAGUUGAUAAUGAUGAAAGGUGACCACGAGUUUCUUUGUUCAGGAAGAGGUUCCUCAACAGCCUUAUUUAAUAUUUUCACCAAUGAUUUUUAGUAAAAUAAGGCUUUGAAAUUAUUAAAAUUGCUGGCAGACAAUAAGGAAGCAGUAAUACUUUGGAUGAUUGGAAUGAUGUUGAGAACCUAAUUUAUUAAGUGGGAUUGCAUUUUUAUCCAGAAAUGUAGGUCACACACUUUGGCAUCUAAAGAAGUGCUUCUGAUACCAUAUGGAGCCUCUUCAUUUAAGAAAGAGAAGAAAAAUUGAAGAAUGUAGUUAUGUGUGUAAAUCUUCCAGGGGAUGACUGUAGGUAAUGGUAUGACAUGGCUGGGAAAACAGUGAAGACAUCCUCAGAGUGUAUCAGAGAGCUCUUAUUGCUGGCAGUGGUGUUUUUACACAUGCAGGAAGAUCAGAGUGGCCCUGUGAAUCUGUUCUCUUCACAUGAAAGAGGAAAAUUUAGACAGAAGAUUCUAACAAAAGAUGAGGACUGCAUUUUUCUUUUAGACACUGAAUGGAAUGCCAGCUGAUACCUGUUGGAAUUCACAUAAAGAUUGAGAAUAAACAGCUGGGACUAUAUGUCCUUAAUUUCCA
ensembl:lncRNA